rnacentral:lncRNA from 1 species
ACAGAAGCCACCCUGUAGACCAGCCCUGCCACUACCAAAACCACACAAACCUCACAUAUCAGUAUAGCUUGGAUAUUAAUAGCAUAGCUGAUCUUAAAAUUUCAAAUUUGUGUAGGCUGAGUAACAGUUGUUUAGGGUGCAAAAAUGCAUAGUUUGAAAUAUCCUCAUGUAAAUGUCUUAAAGCUUUGCAAGUCACAGACAAAAUGUUAAGAAGAUAAGAAGGAAUCAUUCUAUGGAAGUUUCUGUUUCUCUACUAGCAAAGGAAGACCAGAGAACAACAUUUCCUAGACCUUCAUCAGAGACAAUCCUGAAGGAAAAGACACAUCUACAUGAGUUCACUAAAUGCCUGGCACUGGAACCAGGUGACAUGGUGCAGCUUGUGCCUAGGCUGGCAAUUUACCCUGCCACACUUAUAUUCUGUCUGCACGCCAUGUGGCACAAGCCCCAACACGGCUCACAAUAUAUAUUUCCUGACAACAAAGACUGAAAACAAGAUUUAUGCCCACCAGAGCUCUUCCAGGGGCUAACUUCUUUAUCCAAUCUGAUGGCAAUGGAAUCAUGGAAAAAUGGUCUUGUGGCAAAAAGCCUUCUGGCCUGCAUUAGGAGAAGCACUUUCAGCAGGUUGAGGCAGCAAUUCAUCACGUCCUGUGAGGGAGGAGGUGCUCCUUCCCCAUGCUGAAGUUGCAUUUAGUGUCCUGAGUCCAGGUCCAGGCUGUCCAACCCAAGAGAGACAUGAACAUCCUAGAGCUGGUUGAUGGAGGAUUUAGCCAUAGUCAAGAAAAGAGAGCUGGAAGUGUUCAGCCUGGAGAGAAGUCUGCAAAAGAGACUCAGUCUGCAAAAACAUUUGAUGAGGGGCAACAAAGAAGUUAAAGCCAGACUCUUCUGACAGGUGACAGGAUGAGUCAAGGGACACAAACUGAAAUAAAUGAAAUUGCAUUUCAACA